AUGGCUCCACACGUCUCACCGCUUCGGCUCGCCGUCGCCGUUCUCCUCCUUCUCGCGCUGCUCUGCGGACGAAGACCAUGCGGCGGCGUCGGUGCCAUGCCGGUGCCGGUGCACGCGGACAGGAGCGGGCGAGCUCGGCGUGGUCACCGACGGGGGAGCACGGUGCCGACUGGCGCCGGCGUCCGGAGGACACCGGGCCUCUCCCCGCGCGGCACUCGUGUCACGCCGUCGGGCCCGUCAGAGCGCCACAACUCGUGGACCGAUGCCAGCGACCCCGCCGGGCGUGGCCAGAGCCCGGAGGCGCGGGCGUCACCCUGA
rnacentral:rRNA from 1 species